UACGGCGGGAGCUAGCGUUGUUCGGAAUUACUGGGCGUAAAGCGCACGUAGGCGGCUUUGUAAGUUAGAGGUGAAAGCCUGGGGCUCAACCCCAGAAUUGCCUUUAAGACUGCAUCGCUUGAAUCCAGGAGAGGUGAGUGGAAUUCCGAGUGUAGAGGUGAAAUUCGUAGAUAUUCGGAAGAACACCAGUGGCGAAGGCGGCUCACUGGACUGGUAUUGACGCUGAGGUGCGAAAGCGUGGGGAGCAAACAGG
rnacentral:rRNA from 1 species